GUACUGUUGAAGAGUCCCAAACUAGGGCGAAACAGUCGUCCAGUAC
rnacentral:hammerhead_ribozyme from 1 species